ACUGAACAGAGAGCCAGAUGUGGGGCUCCAUCCCAGGACCUGAGCUGAAUCAGAUGCUUAACUGACUGAACCACCCAGGCGCCCCUAUUUCAUCAAUUUUUUAAAAUAUUUCUACUUAUCUAUAAACUAUAUGUUCAUGAGAUUCUUUGAAAUGCUAUGCUAUUUUGACUGCACAACUAAUUAAAUAAAUCCUUUCAAAGCGAUACCAAGCAGUGACAUUUUCUUCUUUUCCAGAUACAAAGGAGAGGAGGAUGGACUACAUGUUAAUUGCUGCAACAAGCUAAUUAUGCCAAGUGCUUGUACACAAGCAAAAGUUAUCUGCUAUCCUCUAUCCCUCUUAUGUUCAUCUGUCUUUCCUUAUCUGUGUUCUUUUUUUUUUCCCCUCUCGCCAUUUGGUGGCAUAUUCAUUUUUCAAUCACUUUACCUUGGCAUCACUAACAAACCUUACUCUUUUUAUUUUCUCCCACAUCCAGGCUGUUCAUGCAACACAUUUCAAAAUUUUGUUAUUUCUUCCUGUUCCUGUCUUUAAAAGCUGUCACUUCCUUUCUGUUCCCAAAGACAAAAAUCCUCAUCCUAACAUCUUUAUCCACAACAACGUGUCCUCUUCUCCUUAAAAUGUAUUCAGUGGUUAAACCACAUAAAUUAGCAAGUAAAGUUCCUGUUUUUCAUUCAAGAUGAUGGCAUCAACGAAUCAUAAGCCCGCAUGCUAUGGAUGUUCUUAUAAUUCAGAUUCACAACUAAUCUGGAAAAUGUAUUUGGAGUGAACUGGGCUUCUGAAAAAAAUGAUUGUUGGUUAGCAGAACAAGUAUUUUGCUAGCAGUGCAGCAGACGUUUUCUUCUUGGUGACAUGUGAGAGUGGGUGAGGAAAGCAUAUGUAAGAGUAUGGAAAAGGACAUCUCUAAAGUCAGGAAGAGUUGCACAUCCUCAAAGAAGACCAGAUUCAAUAUAUAAAUUAAAAAUUUGUUUUGGGAUCCCUGUGUGGCUCAGCAUUUUGGCGCCUGCCUUCAGCCCAGGCCGUGAUCCUGGAGUCCUUGGGUCAAGUCCCGCAUC